CUAGAAGCUAAAAAUCUAGAUUACUGACAAUACAUGUGGGCUCAAGGCACUUAAUCAUUGUUCUAAUUUAUAAUUGACGGAUAUAAUUGUGGAUUGAUGUUGAGGAUCAAAGGGAACUUACAGUAGACUUCAAACACACGAGACAAAGUCGAUGCGAAUUUCACUUCAGCACAUAUCCCAUUCUUGUGCAAUGAUCCUUUCUUGUUUCAAUUUACGGGAUGAGGGAAGAUCACUGGUGCGCAACAAGCUAGCUAGGGUACGAGUUCGUUUAAAGUAUUAGUAAUAGAUUCUAACUGACAUUGGUAAAUCUAAAACUAAUCCAAAUCUUGAGCCCUUCGUCCUAGCAUCCCGACCAUUGAUGACUUCUUUGCAGUACCACCUCUAUGCUCCUGCGAAUUAUUUGAGGAAGCUAAU
rnacentral:lncRNA from 1 species